rnacentral:rRNA from 1 species
ACUCAAAGGAAUUGACGGGGACCCGCACAACCGGUGGAGCGUGUGGUUCAAUUUGAGACAAAGCAAAAAACCUCACCAGGGCUUGACAUGCUAUCGUUUAUGCUCUAAGAAACUAGAGCAAAUCCGCAAGGAUGAUAGUGCAGGUGGUGCAUGGCUGUCGUCAGCUCGUGCCGUGAGGUGUUCCAUUAAGUUGGGAAACGAGCGCAACCCGCAUCCAAUGUUACAUAUUCAUUGGAAACUGUCCCAGUUUUACUGGGAAGGAAGGAGCGGAAGACGUCAAGUCAGCAUGCUCCUUAUGCCCUGGGCUACACACACCCUACAAUGGCGAAGAACAAUGGGUUGCAAGCUAGUAAUGGCAAGCUAAUCCCUGAAAUUUCGCCUCAGUUCAGAUUGAGGGCUGCAACUCGCCCUCAUGAAGUCGGAAUCGGUAGUAAUCGCGAAUCAGCAGGUCGCGGUGAAUACGUUCUCGGGUCUUGUACACACCGCCCGU